ensembl:misc_RNA Metazoa_SRP Metazoan signal recognition particle RNA
GCUGGGUGUGGUGGUGAACACCUGUAGUCCUAGCUACUCAGGAGGUUGAGGUGAGGAUUGCUUGAGCCCAGGAAUUCAAGACUGCAGUGAGCUAUGAUUGUGCCACUGCACUCCAGCCUGGGCAACAGAGCAAGACCCUGUCUCCU